UUUAAUCAAUUUAUGUGUGAAAGACGAUUGACUCUCGUAAAUUCUUGAAGGAAAAACGAAGACCCUUGACCCCUCCUCCUCCUCUCUUUCCCUCCAAAACCAUAUGACUCAACCACUCUCUCUCAUGGUUUGUGGAAGACGACGAUCCUCCUCGGAUCUCAGUCGCCGCGAUGAAAUAGAGGACAACAAUCCAAGCAUAUCGCAGCUGGUCUCGGCGCUGCGGGACGCGUUUCAGGAGGCCGAGUUCGACAGAAUCGAAGCGGCCUUAGUCGCCAGAGAGGCCGACCUGAAGCGGCGGAACGAGAUUCUGAAGGAGAAGGUCGAGUUGGGCCUGCUGGACCGGCUCAAACUGGCCCAAGAUCUCGAGGCUCUGAAGGAGAGUAGGCCGCCGGAGAAGGUGAAGGAGGAGGACAAAGAGGUAAUUUCGCAGCUGCGGAGGAAGAACAAUCGAUUAGAGAUGGAAAAAUCGAGGCUUGAUCGUGAGUAUGAGGCGCUGGAGAGCCGAAUUUUGGGUUUAGAGGAUGAUACUACGAAAUUGGUGAAUGAAAUGCUUCUGGGUUCAGGUAGAAAUGAAGGAACGAUUAUGAGAGACAAUGGCGGUGUUUUAAAUUUGGAGAAUGUGUUUGAGUGUUUGAUUGAGAAUCAGGCAAACGGAAAUCUGCAAAUUUCAGCAGGGGAAGCAAAGCUAGACCGAGUGAUUGAGAAACAGAGGGAGGAGUAUGCAACACUUGAGAAAAGGCAUAAGUUUGAGAUGGAGAAAAUGCUAAAAGUUGAGAAUGAGUUUGCAGCCCUCAAGAGAAAACACCAGCUUCAGCUGGAGGAAAAAGACAAGGUUGAGAAUGAGCUGAAGGCUUGCCGGGUAGAGAUUGAGGGGCUCAAAGUUGAGAAUGAGGUGAAGAAGUUGAAGGAAGUGCUAAAGGCAGUCGAGGAAAAUCAUAAGAGCGAGUAUAAAGCACUCGAGCAAAAGCACCAAUCUCACCUUCUGGAAGUUGAGAAUGAGUUAAAGCGCUGCAAAGCCGAGCUUCAGGGAUUAAAGGAGGAGCAAAGUACCUCAGAUGAGAAGUAUCAGCAGCUUCUGGAGGAGGUGAAUAAGCACAGGAAAGAGGAGGAUGAAGUGGUCAAUUUCGAUCCCCAAAGGCAGAGCAAGGAGGUGGAGAGUGAGCCUAAUGUGGUAUUGGAGGACGAAAUCUCUCGGUUAGAUAAGUUUAGGAAUGCAAAGCAUCUUGGUUCAAAAAACAUGGAUAAGAGAAGCAAAAAUAGUGGAAUGCCAGAUGGUAGUAGAAAACAGAAGUGUAUUGUAACCCCUAACCAUGUCAUAAAUGUAGAGAAUGAUUUUUGUGGUUCUGUGCCAGCGAGUACUUCCCCUCGAGGAAACAGUGUUCGAAAUUCAGGGAGGGAAGGAGGGAGGGAGGUCUUUACAGCUUAUAUCACAACAGGUACUUCUAAAUCUUCAAAUGCAGACACCAUUCUGCUUAGCGAUAGCGAUGAUGAUUGUGCUCCUGCAAAACAGAAAAAUUUUGGGCUCAAAAGAAAACGAGCUUCAUCUCCAAAUGCUAGUAACAAUAACAAUGGUGGUCACAAUUUCAAACGAGAGAGUUUCCCGACCUCUGAGAAUAAGCAAAGCUGGAUGCUGGGCCGUUGUGACUCUCUAGUUGGUGGCUAUGGAAUACAAAAUAACCCACCGAAUCGUGACCAAGAGACCUUAAGACCAUCUGAAGAAAAAGUAGGGGAACAGAAACCUCCUGCAAAGGUGAAUGGCGAGUCUGAUUCCAGUUCUGCAUCUAUGUUCAGUUCUGAUGAUUCGGAGGAUGACGAUGACAUCAAUCUUGACUCAAUGAUGCUGUUCACAACAAACAGAUCAUGAGAGGUAAUAAAAAAUGGCAUUUAUGGUUGCUUGAGGCAUUUGAGAAUGCUGUAUCUGUUAUUGAGCUUCAAGUAACUUGCUGUCUUCUUUUUAUGCUAGUACUGACUAUAUCAAAUUGGAUUAGAAAGAUGGCUGCAUGGGAACUACUUUGGUUCAGUUUCUUAGAGCUCGGGGACAGACAACACAGAGUAAAAGAUCUGUCAAGGAGUUGUAGCAUGACGUAAAUGAUCUUUUUGAGUUGUGACUGCAAGUACUCUGAACGUACUGUUCUUUUGGAGAUUCUCUUAGAGAAGAGAUCCUGCUUUUUAAGUUCUCAAAAUGGAAUACAAGCCUGCUGCUAUGCAAAGCAUUUUGGAUGAUGGAGUAUAACAUGGGUAAUCAUAUUGCAGAUGAUAUUUUUGAAAAUUCUGCAAAGACUGCAAUUUCUGAACUGCUUGCAGAGUUUUAUGUAGAUAGUUGAAUGUAUAGUAUAGAAGUUGAGCCUGAUCCCUCCUAACUAGGCUGGUGCAUUAACAUGUCAACUGGUUCAGCUGGUCAAAUUACUUGUUUUAUGGGAUGAAAAAUAAUGUUAUCCUUUGUAAAUUGGUUUUUAGUUUCAAUCAUCUAGAAAACUUGACAAGGUA